rnacentral:lncRNA from 11 species
AUGACAGGGAAUUCGAACCAAGGGACAGACUUGUGAGCUUAAGGCUAAACGUGGGCUAAAAAUGCACAAAAUAUGGCGUAUAUAGUAGAUGCGAAAAAGGUUACCAACAAUAUAAUACUUGGCUUCAUGAUUCUACGGAAGGAGCAAGCCUGGCUUCUGAUUGGAUGACAGUCUAAUAUGGUUUAAAAGUUCGGGCAGGGUCUUCUGGUCCAUGAUGCGAAGAACGUUCAGUCUUAUCUGCUUUGGCUUCGUCUCACAGCUCUGUAUCGUCGAGGAUAUCAGCUAGCAACUGUAGCGAAGGCCUGCGUUGAACGAUCAACUUUGACGGCGGACAGCGAACAACCAGCUUCUCGAUUCAAGGAGCCCUGCUUCUUCUCCAUUGCUUAUUGCCUAGUUAUGCUCCCUGGCAUUAGUAAGGCGACAGGAGUCGUUUCUCUGGCAGGGCACCAACGUCUCCACGAAACGAGUCAAAUAGAACCGCUGUGUGGCUGUAUAGUUAUUGCGACGAUGGGCCGAACGAAGGUGCAGAAACCAAAAAACUCGAAGGAAAAUUGCUAAUUUCAGGGAAAAGGCUGCAGAUGAAUACAUUUAAAAGUAAAUAUUUAGCAUGUAUAAUCUAACAAGAUCUAACCUUUUUUGGCGCAAGCUGUAGUCCCUUUGUUUAGCAUCAUUUGCCUUUGAACCAGCGGGUAACAGGUUUCUGGUGAUAUUUGCGAGUGCUGAAAAGCUAAAGGGUUGGUACGAGAUGCAAGACAAUUACAUAGGAAAGGCGGAACAGUUGACAGCUGUCGAAAGCUGAAGUAUCCGGCUCACACGUUUCUGCCAGCGAAGGAAUGCUGAGAUCACAUGACGCACCUCCUCCACGGGCAGAACCAUAGAGCGUGGACUGGAUGUCUACUAGUCAGGCGGUUUCCCCUCUUCCCUCACUGUCAGCAGGACGAUAGCCUGGAGCGAAGAGAUGUGAUACUCGUCUUUACGCCUACGACACAACAGAGCGAACACUUGCAAUUGUAUCGUUGAGGAUACUAUAAGAAUCCGUAAGAGGAAAAAAAAGCUGACGAUGUGAUGUAUUUGCCGACCAGGAGAGGCGAAAACGUUAGACCAUAAAUUGAAUGAAGGAAGAAAGUGAUUUCAUACUGGAGGUGCAUCCGAAUAGUUCUUGCAUUGAAGUUCCGUCCGUGUUCUACGUGUGUACCCGUGCGAUUGGACAUUGCCCUCAUUCAUUUUACGAAGGGACUUCCAUCGACCAAGACAAUGGAAUGCCACGCUGAACUCCGCUCAAUCCGAAGAAUAUAAGCUAUCGUUUUGUUCAUUUCCGGAGCGUCAACGCUAGCGGCAACCAAAGAUUGAAACUCAACCUACAUUCAACUACGCAUCACCUACAGGCAGGACUAACAAACUCUCUUGUUAAUGCGAUAGCUUUGCCUGCAAGAGGAUUAAGGGGCCGAAGAAAGUAGUUGCUACAAUACGAUAGACAUAACCUGGCAGAUUUUUGCCGUCAAAAAAUACUGUUCGGUAUGCUUUACCAGCAAAGUCUAACAGACCGAUCCCUUCGUUCUCAGACCAGUCCGUGCGGUCGGCCUCUGCAUGAAUAAUGGUACUACCAGUUGAUCAUAGCCUAUUAGGAUAACACCGCACGGUUCAAUUUAGUCAGGGUUCUAAGCAAUGGAUAACGCUCUACACAUUAAGACCGUAUCAACGUAAGAAGCUACUUCCAGAUUGAAAUGGGUCAAUCAGGCUCUGUACCGAAAUGAAUUGUCACUUUAGAUUGUCUCUGUUAGAUUAGGGAUGACAAUCCGUAUCCUUCCGCAGAAACGAAACAAGACCUUGCGCAUUUAUGUAUAUAAAUAAGACAUAUUGUUUUUUAUUUCGCCGCAUAUCGUACGCCGAGAAUCAAACUCGAACUAUAUAUUUCUGUGGUCAACCUGCGAUCAAACGAUAUAGGUACGGCUUAUCAACAACGAAAACUACUAUUUAUUUUCGGUGCGAGUAGACAGAAACACGAGGUAUUGCAAGGAGCCACAUGCUGUUUUUUCAAUCACAGAGGAAAAGCAUUCAAACAAGUAGUCCGACCAUUACAAACAACUAUUUACAACUCUGAAAACCCUUGCGUCAAUGUAAACAAGUGGUAACAUCGUAAGGAAAAACUUUGCAGCCCCGAUAGAGAAUUGGUUUCUGAUGUCAUUAAGCCUAUGUCUGAACGCAUGAAUCUGAGCAGUAAAUCACUGAAGUACUUUUCCCAUGAUUUGUUCAGUUUGUUGCUGCUACCAUUUAUAACGUUCUGAACUAAUAGUUACAAAAAACUUCAGAGGUUCAAGGUAAAAUCUUUUUUAAGCCUCACGAAACACAGAAAAAUGUUUUUGUUCUAUGAAUGAGUUCUUAGCUGAAAUUAAAGACCCAUUUUUCCAUCGAUUUAGGGUGAAAACGAAUGUGUUCCUAAGCGAGCAUAGUGCCGCGUCUCAUGAGAACCUCAAGCCUUGGUUGCUUGCCCCAGCGACCACCGGCUUCAGUUGCUUGGAUAGUACUGCAUUUGAAAAAAUUGAUAAUACGCAGCAUCGAAAACGAUGCCCUUUGAACUCCUCGAACCAUCAUCAUCUGUUGUUGUUAUUGUUGUUGCAAAAGCAAUUAGAAUCAAGUUUUUCAGCAUUAAUAGAAUAACGCUAAAACAAAAAAUGGGUCAAAUUUUAAGCUGAUAUUGUCUUCAAGGCGCUGACAUCGGAACAGUAAAGACUUAAGCCAAGGACUUCUACUUUUACCUAUUCAUUUACUAAUAAUAAAAAAGAGCCUAAUCGCGCGAUUUCUAUGUCAAGAGCCACAAGAAAUAAUGCCAAACAUUAGCUAUAAUAUAAUCUAACGUAAAUACCGAUAAGCAAUUCUACUUAUGCAACUGAACCCAUUUUUACUAGCGCCUGACCGCGGCAGGUGACCAUGCGCAUAAAAAAAAGCGACACCGCAAUACUGAAAACUACCCGCGGAGAUCAUAUUGCUACACAGAUGUUAUUUGUCAAUCAGCAGCGUAGGGCGCGUUGAUUCGUAAACGCGCCACGACAAGUCGUGCAUGACUGCACGAUAAACCGCAUGUAACUAAUAAAUAAGCGCGACCUAACACAUGGAAUUGAACUAUGUCGUCCUAAGUACUAUC